UACGAGGGGUGCAAGCGUUGCUCGGAAUUAUUGGGCGUAAAGGGUAGGUAGGUGGUCUUAUUUGUCUUGUGUGAAAGCCUUGGGCUUAACCCAAGAAGUGCGCAAGAAACGGUAAGACUAGAGUCCCAGAGAGGCUUGUGGAAUUCCCGGUGUAGCGGUGAAAUGCGUAGAGAUCGGGAGGAACACCAGAGGCGAAGGCGGCAAGCUGGAUGGGCACUGACACUCAACUACGAAAGCGUGGGGGAGCAAACAGG
rnacentral:rRNA from 1 species